rnacentral:rRNA from 1 species
CAGUAGCCACGGUAAUACGGAGGGUGCAAGCGUUAUCCGGAUUUAUUGGGUUUAAAGGGUCCGUAGGCGGAUCUGUAAGUCAGUGGUGAAAUCUCACAGCUUAACUGUGAAACUGCCAUUGAUACUGCAGGUCUUGAGUAAAUUUGAAGUGGCUGGAAUAAGUAGUGUAGCGGUGAAAUGCAUAGAUAUUACUUAGAACACCAAUUGCGAAGGCAGGUCACUAAGAUUUAACUGACGCUGAUGGACGAAAGCGUGGGGAGCGAACAGGAUUAGAGACCCCAGUAGUCCCUGUCUCUUAUAC